GGGCGGUGCCGAGGCUGGGGGCCGGUGGCGGAUGGAGCCCGCGAUGGAGCCGGAGACUCUGGAGGCGCGAAUCAAUAGAGCCACGAACCCCCUGAACAAGGAGCUCGACUGGGCCAGCAUCAACGGCUUCUGCGAGCAGCUCAACGAGGACUUUGAGGGGCCUCCACUCGCCACCCGGCUGCUGGCCCACAAGAUCCAGUCCCCACAGGAGUGGGAGGCGAUCCAGGCCUUGACGGUGAGAAGGGGAGAGGCCACCAUCCAUCCCCCGCCAUGUGACGACACCAAGGGAGGCCAAGACUGAGGUUCUUGGGGUCCAUAAGGCUCUUCAGAGCCCAAGAGAGUUGUGCUAAGAUGGCCCAGGAUGGAGGUCUGGGCCUGCCCCAAGGGUCCCACCACAGCCAGCGGGCUGGCCUCCCACCCCAGCAUCCAUACACGUAGGCCUGUUGCUGAGGGAAGGCCCUCUAGGGUCAUCUGGUCCAGGGGUUCCUUGCUUCAGCUGCACAUCGGCUGCCUCUCCAGGAAGCGUGUUCAACACAUGGAAUCAGGGCUCCACCCAGACCUGCCGAGGCCACACUCCUGGAGUAUCUGCAUCCAGAGAUCUGCACGUUUGUAAAGCUAAGGGGUGGUGCUUGGGCUCAGGCCUGAGGUUUUGCAUCUGUUCAAUAGCAGAGGAGAGAGGGGUGUACUGUCUGUGGCCCCCAGCAUGGGCCACAUACCAACCCACCAUGGAGCAAAGCUGAUUUUAAGUGGUGGUAGAGAUACAGUUUCUCUUUUAAUACUUACGUGUUUAGUUGGGCGCAGUGGCUUAUACCUGUAAUUUCAGCACUUGGGGAGGCCAAGGCAGGAGGCUUGCUUGAGGCAAGGAGUUCAAGGCUACAGUGAGCUAUGAUUGUGCCACUGUACUCCAGACUGGACAACAGAGUGAGACCCCAUCUCUAAAUGAUAAUCAUUAUUGUUACAUAUUUGUUUUAACAUUUUUUUCUCAAGUAUAACUAGUCCUAUGAUUUCAUAGAUGUAGCUUAGGAUAAGGCCAAGGUAGAUGUUGCCUAUAUAAGGUUUUUUUAAAAAAGGAAAAAUAGGCCGGGCUGGUGGCUCACGCCUGUAAUCCCAGCACUUUGGCAGGCUGAGGCGGGCAGAUCACCUGAGAUCAGGAGUUCAAGAUCAGCCUGACCAACAUGGAGAAACCCCAUGUCUACUAAAAAUAAAAAAUUAGCGAGGCGUGGUGGGCAGGCGCCUGUAAUCCCAGCUACUUGGGAGGCUGAGGCAGAAGAAUCAUUUGAACCCAGGAGGCAGAGGUUACAGUGAGCCGAGAUCGUGCUACUGCAUUCCAGCCUGGGCAACAAGAGUGAAACUCUGUCUCAAAAAAAAAAAAAAAAAAAAAAAAGGAAAAA
rnacentral:sRNA from 1 species